UGUCCCUCGCAUCUCUCGCGCAGCCGUCGCUCUCGCUCCCAUCCUUCUCUCCGGCCCGAGCAGCCGCUGCUCCUCUGCGCCUCCAUCCUCCUCCUAGCCGUCCCUUCUGCUAGCCCCUCGCGACCAUGAAGGGCGGCGGAGCCAUCAGUAGUGGCGGCAGUCGGGCUCCUGGGUGUGAGGCUAGAGAAGGCCAAGCAGAGCACGCCGUCGCCGUCACAACCAACUGCGCCUUGGGCGAUGCCGACGAGCUCCAAUGUCUUGACGCCACCAACAUGCUUCAGUGGAUCGAUCCGGUACCAGGAACCAUGAGCACCAGGCCCACCUACCCCGCCACCGGCGCCCCCUCCUCGCAAGAUCCCGACCAUGGUUGGACAAGGCAAAGUUUCAUGUCAUUGGGGCAAUCUUAUUUACGGCCCAGCAAGGUGUUCUGCAUCCAACAGCUGUUGUGAAGACUAGAAUAGGAUUUGGCACCAGUGCAGUUGGAGCUCUACUCGCCGUCUACUGGGUGAACCGGGACCUCUGCCACUUCCGCCACAAGGACUGGGCCAGGGUCGAGGAGGACAGCAGGAGGGCGCUCAUGCUUGACGACACCUCCAUCAAGGGACACUAUUUGCUAGGAUGCGCGCUGCUCUUGAAGGGGGACUGCGCUCUUACCGUCAAGGAAUUCGACAAGGCGUUUGAUCACUUGAAGUACUCAAAUUCAAGGGACAAAAUGGCAGAGGACAUUUGAUAGUUUCUUGCAAGGCAAAGUACGAAGACUGGGAAAAGCACUCUACUCAGCGAGUUUGGAAGAUGCAAAGUUUAAGGGAAGCAUGUGAAAAUGCUCUGCCACGCCUCCACCUUCUCCUUCGCCCUUCACCACCGAGCCCCCUGACCCAUCACGCUCGCCGCGCCCUUUGCGCAAGGGCUUCCAACCCAAUGUGCCGAUUGCGGCCGUUCUUGAGGCUGCUAACCUACAGUUGUCGAUCCCACUGCUCCCCAGUGCAGAGGAUUUCCAUGGUGUGGUAGCUCCAAGGCACACCUGACCUCCUCCUUUUGGUGAUGUUUAUCAGUUACAACGCAGAAGAAUGUUAGCGGGAACAUCGAACAAGAAGAGGUGUUACAGGGAGGUGGAAAGAUGCGUCUGCGCCCGGCCACCUCUCCAGCACGACGUGCCAGCCAAUUCUCUCUUGUGCCUCCUUCCACACCGGCUCGCCGUCUCACCCACCAUGGCUUGAAAUAAACGGUGCACAUCUGUUCGAGGGGUAGUGUUGACGCGUACGAGGGUUUUCAGUAAUACGACCAUCAAGCCAGAUGUUGUGGUGACAGUCAUGAGGCAACUAUACAUUUACUAUGAAGACUGGUCUAUGACGGUCCUUUUACUCGCUCUUCAUUGAAAAUUAUGAAUUAUUGUUGCAUCUACUAGGGAGACAUGCAUCUCUCCCUUCCUAAAGAAGAGAGUGCAUGUUCUAA